rnacentral:misc_RNA from 1 species
GAUGAAGAACGUAGCGAAAUGCGAUAAGUAAUGUGAAUUGCAGAAUUCAGUGAAUCAUCGAAUCUUUGAACGCACAUUGCGCCCGCUAGUAUUCUGGCGGGCAUGCCUGUCCGAGCGUCAUUUCAACCCUCAAGCCCCCGGGCUUGGUGUUGGGGAUCGGCGAGCCUCCGCGCCCGCCGUCCCCUAAAUCUAGUGGCGGUCUCGCUGUAGCUUCCUCUGCGUAGUAGCACACCUCGCACUGGGGAACAGCGCGGCCACGCCGUUAAACCCCCAACUUCUGAACGUUUGACCUCGGAUCAGGUAGGAAUACCCGCUGAACUUAAGCAUAUCAAUAAGCGGAGGA